UACGAAGGGGGCUAGCGUUGUUCGGAAUUACUGGGCGUAAAGCGUACGCAGGCGGCUUGACAAGUCAGGGGUGAAAUCCCGGAGCUUAACUCCGGAACUGCCUUUGAAACUGUCAAGCUAGAGACCGAGAGAGGAUGGUGGAAUUCCUAGUGUAGAGGUGAAAUUCGUAGAUAUUAGGAGGAACACCGGUGGCGAAGGCGGCCAUCUGGCUCGGUACUGACGCUCAUGUACGAAAGCGUGGGGAGCAAACAGG
rnacentral:rRNA from 1 species